GACGAACGCUGGCGGCGUGCUUAACACAUGCAAGUCGAACGGAAAGGCCCUGCUUUUUUGUGGUGCUCGAGUGGCGAACGGGUGAGUAACACGGGAGUAACCUUCCCUUGACUUUGGGAUAACUUCAGGAAACUGGGGCUAAUACCGAAUAGGAGCUCCUGCUGCAUGGUGGGGGUUGGAAAGUUUCGGCGGUUGGGGAUGGACUCGCGGCUUAUCAGCUUGUUGGUUGGGUAGUUGCUUACCCAGGCUUUGACGGGUAGGCGGCCUGGGAGGGUGACCGGCGACAUUGGGACUGAGAUACGGCCCAGACGCGUAUGGUAGGCAGAAGUCGGGAAUAUUGCACAAUGGGCGGAAGUCUGAUGCAGCAACGCUGCGUGCGGGAUGACGGCCUUCGGGUUGUAAACCGCUUUCGCCUGUGACGAAGCGUGAGUGACGGUAAUGGGUAAAGAAGCACCGGCUAACUACGUG
rnacentral:rRNA from 1 species